rnacentral:rRNA from 1 species
GUAGGGAAUCUUGCGCAAUGGGCGAAAGCCUGACGCAGCCAUGCCGCGUGAAUGAUGAAGGUCUUAGGAUUGUAAAAUUCUUUCACCGGGGACGAUAAUGACGGUACCCGGAGAAGAAGCCCCGGCUAACUUCGUGCCAGCAGCCGCGGUAAUACGAAGGGGGCUAGCGUUGCUCGGAAUUACUGGGCGUAAAGGGAGCGUAGGCGGAUAGUCUAGUCAGAGGUGAAAGCCCAGGGCUCAACCUUGGAAUUGCCUUUGAUACUGGCUAUCUUGAGUAUGGAAGAGGUAUGUGGAACUCCGAGUGUAGAGGUGAAAUUCGUAGAUAUUCGGAAGAACACCAGUGGCGAAGGCGACAUACUGGUCCAUUACUGACGCUGAGGCUCGAAAGCGUGGGGAGCAAACAGGAUUAGAAACCCGUGUAGUCC